rnacentral:rRNA from 1 species
GACAGAGGGUGCAAACGUUGUUCGGAAUUACUGGGCGUAAAGCGCGUGUAGGCGGCUCUGCAAGUCGGAUGUGAAAUCCCACGGCUCAACCGAGGAAGUGCAUCCGAAACUGGCGAGCUUGAGUACGGAAGAGGGUCUCGGAAUUCCCGGUGUAGAGGUGAAAUUCGUAGAUAUCGGGAGGAACACCAGUGGCGAAGGCGGAGACCUGGGCCGAUACUGACGCUGAGGUGCGAAAGCGUGGGGAGCAAACAGG